rnacentral:rRNA from 1 species
CCUACGGGUGGCAGCAGUGGGGGAUAUUGCACAAUGGGGGGAACCCUGAUGCAGCGACGCCGCGUGGGUGAAGGAGUGCUUCGGCAUGUAAAGCCCUAUCGGCAGGGAAGAAGCAAGACGGUACCUGACUAAGAAGCCCCGGCUAACUACGUGCCAGCAGCCGCGGUAAUACGUAGGGGGCGAGCGUUAUCCGGAUUCACUGGGUGUAAAGGGAGCGUAGACGGCCAUGCAAGCCAGGGGUGAAAGCCCGGGGCCCAACCCCGGGACUGCCCUUGGAACUGCAUGGCUAGAGUGCGGGAGGGGCAGGCGGAAUUCCUGGUGUAGCGGUGAAAUGCGUAGAUAUCAGGAGGAACACCGGCGGCGAAGGCGGCCUGCUGGACUGCGACUGACGUUGAGGCUCGAAAGCGUGGGGAGCGAACAGGAUUAGAUACCCGAGUAGUC